rnacentral:rRNA from 1 species
AAAACGGCUACGCUGGGAGCGUGCCCAUUACAUGGCUAGCUCGAUGCGCAGGAAACCAGAUGACCCCUUCGGGCGUGAUUCUGGCGGAAUGAGCGGCGGACGGGUGAGUAACACGUGGGCAACCUGCCUGUAAGACUGGGAUAACUUCGGGAAACCGGAGCUAAUACCGGAUAGUAUUUCCUUUCUCCUGAUUGGAAAUGGAAAGACGGUUUCGGCUGUCACUUACAGAUGGGCCCGCGGUGCAUUAGCUAGUUGGUGGGGUAAUGGCCCACCAAGGCGACGAUGCAUAGCCGACCUGAGAGGGUGAUCGGCCACACUGGGACUGAGACACGGCCCAGACUCCUACGGGAGGCAGCAGUAGGGAAUCUUCCGCAAUGGACGAAAGUCUGACGGAGCAACGCCGCGUGAGCGAUGAAGGCCUUCGGGUCGUAAAGCUCUGUUGUCGGGAAAAAAUAAGUACAAGAGUAACUGCUUGUACCUUGACGGUACCUGACCAAAAAGCCCCGGCCUAACUACGUGCCGGCACCCGCGGGUAUUACGUAGGGGGGCCAAGCGUUGCCCGAAAUUAUUGGGCGAAAGGGCACGUAGUUGGUUUUCUUAGGUGGGAAGGGGAAACCCCCCAGCUUAUGGGGGAAGGGUGAAAGAAAACGGCUAAAAUUGGGGAAAAAAACGAGAGCGGGUUCC